rnacentral:rRNA from 1 species
CAGGACGAACGCUGGCGGCGUGCUUCAUACAUGCAAGUCGAACGAGAAGCUCACUUCGGUGAGUGGAAAGUGGCGGACGGGUGAGUAAUGUGUAGAGAAUCUGCCCUAGAGUGGGGGAUAGCAGUUGGAAACGACUAUUAAUACCCCAUAUGCGCGUAGCUGAGAUGCUAUUCGUGAAAACUCCGGUGCUCUGGGAUGAGUCUGCAUCUGAUUAGCUAGUAGGCGGUGUAAUGGACCACCUAGGCGACGAUCAGUAGCUGGUUUGAGAGGAUGAUCAGCCACAAUGGGACUGAGACACGGCCCAUACUCCUACGGGAGGCAGCAGUAGGGAAUUUUGCGCAAUGGGGGCAACCCUGACGCCAGCAACGCCGCGUGAUUGAAGAAGCCCUUCGGGGUGUAAAGAUCUGUCAGUGGGGACGAAACUUGACGGUACCCACAGAGGAAGCAUCGGCUAACUCCGUGCCAGCCGCUGC